ACCCUGGUAUCAGCCUCAGGGAAGAGCA
rnacentral:tRNA from 1 species